CCUACGAGAGGCAGCAGUGAGGAAUAUUGGUCAAUGGGCGCGAGCCUGAACCAGCAAAGUAGCGUGAAGGAUGACUGCCCUACGGGUUGUAAACUUCUUUUAUAAAGGAAUAAAGUGAGGCACGUGUGCCUUUUUGUAUGUACUUUAUGAAUAAGGAUCGGCUAAAUCCGUGCAAGCAGCCGCGGUAAUACGGAGGAUCCGAGCGUUAUCCGGAUUUAUUGGGUGUAAAGGGAGCGUAGAUGGGAUGUGAAUUCAGUUGUGAAAGUUUGCGGCUCAACAGUAAAAUUGCAAUUGAUACUGGCAGUCUGGAGUACAGGUGAGGUAGGCGGAAUUCGUGGUGUAGCGGUGAAAUGCUUAGAUAUCACGAAGAACUCCGAUUGCGAAGGCAGCUUACUAAACUGCCACUGACAUUGAUGCUCGAAAGUGUGGGUAUCAAACAGGAUUAGAUACCCUAGUAGUC
rnacentral:rRNA from 1 species